UCCCUGGUGGCUCAGAUGGUAAAGUGUCUGUCUGCAAUGCGGGAGACCCGGGUUCAAUCCCUGGGUUGGGAA
rnacentral:tRNA from 1 species